UCAUUGUUUUGAUUUUGACCGCCUGACAACUUUACGGAAAUAUCAAAGUGAUUGUAAAUAAGGACUCUGUGACGGGCAACUUAUUAUACCCGUGUUUUAAAGAUUUUAAUGAUAUCAAGCCUAUAAAGCCAGUCCAGUUCAAAGUACUAUCACGUGGUACAAUUCUCAUUUACAUAUUAUGAAUAUUAAUUAGCAAAACCACUACUAAUUUCUGGCUAUGCCAUAUUGGUCUCUUGUGGAGAGUUGUCUCAACAUGGCAAUCAUACCACAUCUUCUUUUUUUGUAAUCAAUGAAUUUUGUAAAAGAUUUAAUGACUGGAGAAUUUCAGAAAAGGUAUCAAAAGUUCACAUGAAUAUUUUUAGCGCUUAUCUGUAUAUUAUGAACAUUCAUUACUAUAUAAAUAUAGUGUAUUUACUUUCAAUUCUAAGUUUACUAAUCGAUCCAUGGUGGUCAUUGAUAUAGUAUACAGACCCUCUCUA
rnacentral:lncRNA from 1 species